rnacentral:rRNA from 1 species
GUGGGUAGCGGUGAAAUUCCAAUCGAGCCCGGAGAUAGCUGGUUCUCCCCGAAAUAGCUUUAGGGCUAGCCUCAAGGUGAGAGAUACGGAGGUAGAGCACUGAAUGUCCUAGGGGGUAUUGCACCUACCGAAGACUAUCAAACUCCGAAUGCCGUCAUCUUAUACUUGGGAGUCAGACUGUGGGUGAUAAGAUUCAUAGUCGAAAGGGCAACAGCCCAGAUCGUCAGCUAAGGUCCCUAAAUGUAAGUUAAGUGGUAAAGGAUGUGGGAUUGCACAGACAACCAGGAUGUUGGCUUAGAAGCAGCCACUCAUUCAAAGAGUGCGUAAUAGCUCACUGGUCGAGUGAUCCUGCGCCGAAGAUUUCCGGGGCUAAAACUUACUACCGAAGCUACGGCAUCAGUAAUGAUGGGUAGGGGAGCUUCCCAUACGGGUUGAAGCAUGACCGUAAGGACAUGUGGACAG